rnacentral:rRNA from 1 species
GAUGAACGCUGGCGGCGUGCCUAAUACAUGCAAGUCGAGCGAACAGACGAGGAGCUUGCUCCUCUGACGUUAGCGGCGGACGGGUGAGUAACACGUGGAUAACCUACCUAUAAGACUGGGAUAACUUCGGGAAACCGGAGCUAAUACCGGAUAAUAUAUUGAACCGCAUGGUUCAAUAGUGAAAGACGGUUUUGCUGUCACUUAUAGAUGGAUCCGCGCCGCAUUAGCUAGUUGGUAAGGUAACGGCUUACCAAGGCAACGAUGCGUAGCCGACCUGAGAGGGUGAGCGGCCACACUGGAACUGAGACACGGUCCAGACUCCUACGGGAGGCAGCAGUAGGGAAUCUUCCGCAAAGGGCGAAAGCCUGACGGAGCAACGCCGCGUGAGUGAUGAAGGUCUUCGGAUCGUAAAACUCUGUUAUUAGGGAAGAACAAAUGUGUAAGUAACUAUGCACGUCUUGACGGUACCUAAUCAGAAAGCCACGGCUAACUACGUG